rnacentral:rRNA from 1 species
GACGAACGCUGGCGGCGUGCUUAACACAUGCAAGUCGAACGGGUCUGCCCUGUUUUUUGCGGGGUGGGUCAGUGGCGAACGGGUGAGUAACACGUGAGUAACCUGCCCCUCACUUCUGGAUAACCGCUUGAAAGGGUGGCUAAUACGGGGUGUUCUGGCUGUGCCGCAUGGUGUGGCUGGGAAAGAUUCACUUUUGUGGUGUUUUGGUGUGGGAUGGGCUCGCGGCCUAUCAGCUUGUUGGUGGGGUGAUGGCCUGCCAAGGCUUUGACGGGUAGCCGGCCUGAGAGGGUGGGCGGUCACACUGGGACUGAGAUACGGCCCAGACUCCUGCGGGAGGCAGCAGUGGGGGGUAUUGCACAAUGGGCGGAAGCCUGAUGCAGCGACGUCGCGUGAGGGAUGGAGGCCUUCGGGUUGUGAACCUCUUUCGCCGGUGAAGAAGGUCCUGCUCUUUGUGGUGGGGUUGACGGUAGCCGGGUUAUGAAGCGCCGGCUAACUACGUG